CACGUAGGGGGCAAGCGUUGUCCGGAUUUAUUGGGCGUAAAGAGCUCGUAGGCGGCUCAGUAAGUCAGGUGUGAAACCUCCAGGCUCAACCUGGAGACGCCACCUGAUACUGCUGUGGCUAGAGUCCGGUAGGGGAGCGUGGAAUUCCCGGUGUAGCGGUGAAAUGCGCAGAUAUCGGGAGGAACACCUAUGGCGAAGGCGGGUCUCUGGACAGUUCCUGACGCUGAGGCACGAAGGCCAGGGGAGCAAACGGG
rnacentral:rRNA from 1 species